GAAUUCUGGUGGACAAAAUAAUUAAUAGUGUAACUUUGGAUAAAGUGAGACAUGAAAAAGUUAUUAAAUUCCAUAAGUACCCUCGAGGAUAUAGUAAGAAUUUCAUAAUUCUGAGAUUACCGCAACGGUUGUUCAGAGUGUUUGGAAGACCGAGUCAGUGAAUGGAAAUUAGCAGAAGAGAUAGAUAAGUGAAGAGAGAUUCCGAGAUCCAGUCUAACAGCAUGCGCAACAACUUCGCACACCAGAACUUCUUUCAUUAUAAAAAUCCCAACCAACAACAAUAAAGAAAUCCACUGCCGAACUACAUGGGUGGCAAUGGGAAGCACAGAUGGAAAAUCUCCUUCCACCGCUCCUCUUCCCAAUCCUCCAAGCUCGACCCCAAGCUCCCUCCCAAGGAAUUUACGUGCCCCAUUUCCGGCUCCUUAAUGUUCGACCCGGUUGUCGUCGCUUCGGGUCAAACCUUUGAACGUCUCGCCGUUCAAGUCUGUAAGGACCUCAACUUCUCCCCCAAACAAGAAGACGGCACCCGGCCCGAUUUCUCAACGGUAAUCCCUAACUUAGCCCUCAAAACCACAAUCCUCAAUUGGUGCGAUAAAUCACGCAGCCAACACCCGCGCGCACCCGAUUACGCCUCCCUCGGGGGCCGCGUCAGGCAGGCAAUGCUUCUUUCGGUGGGACAAAAUCAACAGGAAGAACGACAAGAACGAAUUAGGGUUUCCGAAACGGAGCUUCUCAACGCGGUCCCGGAUAACCCUCCCGUCAUUUUCUCCCACGCCGCCACUGAGUUAAGCCCCCGAGUCAACCACUUCAACUCGGGAUCCUCCUCCGAGGAGUCGGUCAUCAUUCUGCCCAGUCCGGGAACGCCGUUACCGUUUACUGUUCGUCCAACCUGCUUCUCCUCCUCCUCCUCCUGCGAGAUUGAAAUUGAAAACCCUGGCGCGCCGGUUUCGGAGGAAGAGGAAAGAAUAUUGAAGAAAUUGAAGAGCAGCGAGGUGUUUGAGAAAGAGGAAGGCGUAAUCGCGCUGAGGAAGAUCACGAGGAGCAAAGUGGAGGCUAGGCUCUUGCUCUGCACGCCGCGGGUGCUACUGGCGCUGCGCGGUUUGAUCGCUUCGCGAUACGGCGUUGUUCAGGUCAACGCAGUGGCGUCUCUGGUCAACCUCUCGCUGGAGAAGCAGAACAAGGUGAAGAUAGUGAGGUCGGGGUUUGUACCGUUUUUAAUCGAUGUUUUGAAGGGGGGAUUGGAUGAGUCGCAGGAGCACGCUGCGGGCGCGCUUUUCAGUUUAGCCUUGGAUGAUGAUAAUAAAAUGGCCAUUGGCGUUCUCGGCGCGUUGCAGCCGCUGAUACACUCGCUGCGUGCCGAGUCCGAUAGGACUCGGCAUGACUCGGCGCUCGCGUUGUAUCAUCUGAGCCUGGUUCAGAGUAACCGAGUGAAGCUGGUGAAACUCGGGGUGGUACCGACGCUUUUGUCCAUGGUGGUGGCGGGGAAUUUGGCGAGCCAAGUGCUGCUGAUUCUUUGCAACCUGGCGAUGUGCACGGAGGGGCGCACGGCUAUGCUGGACGCGAACGCGGUGGAGUGUCUGGUGGGGCUGUUGAGGACGAACGAGUUGGACUCAGAGGCGAUUCGGGAGAAUUGCGUGGCAGCGCUGUUUGCGCUGAGUCAUAGGAGCUUGAGGUUCAAAGGGUUGGCGAAGGACGCGAGGGUUGUGGAGGUUUUGAAGGAGGUUGAAAAAACGGGAACAGAGAGGGCCAGGGAGAAGGCCAGGAAGGUGUUGCACAUGUUGAGAACUGUGGGCGAUGGAGGUGAUGAUGAAAGUGACGAAUUUUACGACACGGUCGGGUUGACGCGGAAUCGUUACCGACUUGGUGCUGGCAGGAACCACAACAUCCUCAACACGACCACGUUUUAGAACCUAAACUCCUACAGUGAAAGAUUGGAGCCAUGGAGAGGCCAAACUCUGUAGGCCUAGCUGCUCCUCCUCAACCCAAUACCUAGGCUCGGGCUGUUUUGUCCAACUGUACUGCACAUUUGGCAAGUUUCUUCGGUUUCCUUCUAGCCAAAAAUCUAAGGCCUUAAUCUUGAUAUCAAGUCAUACUCCAAAUGCUUGGUCUUGUUUUUAAUCGAAGACCCCUCCUCCUUUAGAACCUGUAACGUGAACUUCCUUUCCCUUCCAUUACUUGUAAUAAGCACACACCUCUGACUAGUGUGGUUAAAUCUUUCAACAAGUGUUUAAAGUGUGAAGAAAAUAAAAAUUAAAGAGAAAGGUUGAUUAAAUUUGUGCCUGGAUUUAAAAUUAACUCAAACACCUCAACUCAUACAAAGUUGAGGCUUAUACAUUAGUUUUAGUUUGUGAGGGAAGUUUAAUGAACAUAUAUGAGGGAAGCUUACUUCGAAGUGGUUCUUAAUUAAAUACAGACAGGCUCUUACCAAAGCAUCCAUCUUGCAAUUAUAUAUUUGAUUGUCAACUGCCUCUAGACUUUCACUUGGUUGGAUAAUACAUUAGAUUGUUACAAAUUGCAUAAUUUGGUGAUUUUAAUGGAGGGUUUGGUGAAAUUAUAUUGUAAAUUAUGU